AAGUCGUAACAAGGUUUCCGUAGGUGAACCUGCGGAAGGAUCAUUAUCGAGUUAGGGUUCCUUUACGGGCCCGACCUCCAACCCGGUGUCUAAUACCUUACCAUGCUUGUCGUCUCGGGCGGGGCCCCGCCCUGUAAAAAGGGGCCGCCGGGGGUGCCCGUCACCUCUGGCCCGCGCCCGUCGAUAGCCCACAACAAACUCUUUUAAACCGUGUCCUGUCUGAAUAAACCAAAAAAUUAAGCACAAAA
rnacentral:misc_RNA from 1 species